AGGGUUUAGAUAGUUGGUCCCCUGGUAAGAAAACAACUCUUAAGAAAUAUGAAUAAGUCUUGCUUGAUCAAAAACACACAAACUGAGGAAACCAUUGAUGUUCAAGAAGCAAUAAGUACUUUGUUACCACCACGCAAUAAAUAAAAAAAUAGAAUGGAAGGGCAUUAUACCCGCCUAUUAGAAGGAAAAAAUGCAAAGACAACAUAUAUUUUUUUAACAAAUGCAAUAUAUGUAUUUAUGAGCCUGAAAUAAGCACAUAUACAUAGUGAGGAUAUAUUAUCAAAUAGAUAAUAUAAUUUUUUGUAAUAAAUGUUGCAGAAAAGAACAAGUGAAGUACAAACAUUGCACAUUUCAUAUUUUGAAGGAGAAUGUGUAAGAAAAGAUUUUUUUUUCACAAGCUACAAAAAGAGAAAUAUGUUUAAGCUUACCAUGCCAACUUAAAUACAAACUUUGCACAUUAUCAUAUUUUAAAGGAGAACGUGUAACAAAGGAUUUUUUUUUUCUCCCUCAAGAUAAAAGAGAGAAAUAUGUUUUAGCUUACAAUGCCAACUAACUCAGCACACUGGCAUUGCAAUUACACAAUCAUAUUGGCCUUCUGUUUUGUUUUCCUCCAUAUUGUCAAUCUGAGUUUAGCUUAAUGAUAUGCAUUUCUAUAUUUGCUAUCUUUGAUCUGCAAUAAAUCACAUGCAUUUAUCACCUUUUCUCAUGCUUGUGGUAAGUAUUUACACCCUUUAUAUCAUUGUUAAUAUAACCAACAACAAAAUAACCAAGUACUUGCCUUGUAAUUACUUAUGUCUCAUGACAUCUGACAAUCCCAAAAUACACAAGAAUACUCACUUCAUCUAGCUCAGUCUUACUGAAAAUGUUUUCGGAACUCCUCUAGUACUAUGUACAGGACAAGCUGACAAAACCAACCAUUCUAUGGUUUCUUGAAGCCUGGUAUUUUUAAUGAAAGUGCAUUCAAAUGAUUUCUUUAGUUCCUUAGUAACACCCAUUUGAAUUCUUGUGCCAUCAAUCAGCACCACAAAACAAUGAGCAUACAUCAUCAUGUUUCCUACGAGGUUUUAAAAUGAUGGAGGCAUCACAUGCGCAGCCUGGAGUUGGUCAGCAUACAUAGGCAUGCAAGAUGGGUGCCUGACCACAGCCACCGCUGCACCAAUGGCUACAGCAGAACCACCAACACCGGUUGCGCUGCAGGCACAACUAGCAGUCCACUCUACUUAACAUGAAAGAUGCACAAACAAAGAGUUACAUAUACAUCAAUGGAAAACCUCCCUUGUUCAAUUCUUACCAAGUUACCUGGAGGCCCAUCCAUCAUAUUACCUUUUCCAUUUUUGUUGUCGUAUGUAGGCCUCUCCCUUAGAUGCCUAUAAAGUGACUCAGGACCCAAUAAACAUGGCCUUCAUAGUCAGUCUCUCUUUUCUGGAAAAAAAGAACAUAAUUAAUGAACCAACCUAGUUGCUCUCAUAAACUCCCAUGAUUAUGUUGGUGAUUGUAGUGAACAUCUCACCCUUCUACACCCUCUUCAACAGCUCCUUAUUGAUUGGAUCAAUAUGACAAACACAUUUAUUAUUAUCUUAAAUGUAUUAUUCAAAAAGAAUCCUUAUUCACUCAACUUUUAAGCAUACUCGCCAAUUCUCAACUCACUACAUUUCACUUUAAUUGCAUUAUAAUCACUCUAAUGGGUUUUAUUGGCAUGUAUAUAUUCCUACUCUACCUUUCCCUUUCCAUUAAUAUUUUCGAACCUUUUCUCAAGCAUAAUCUAUUUCCGGGAUUUUUCUAAGACAUAAAGUUAGACUUAUAAAGUUAACUGACUUCUUGCAUUACUUUUUGUCAUUCACUAAACUAAGAUAUUUUUAUCAAUAUUUUUCCGAUUGUAGAAUUUAUUAUACCAAUAUCCCUAUUAGUAGUUUCAAAUAACUUUUCAUGAACCAUCUAUGGGACCAUUUUUUCACCACCAAUUUUCCAUGCCAAUAUGUCUUCAAACUAUAACAUGAGCAAUGUUUCUUAAUUUCUUAUCAUCAUAGUAACUUCUCAAAAUCCAUACCAUGUUUGCUUGCUACGUAACUUCAACUUUACCUCUUUUAAAUUAAUGCACUGCCCGCCGUUGAAGGUCACCACCACUAAGACCCUAUUUGGGAUUACUGUUGGCAGUAGAGCUUUUGAAGCUUUUGAGAAACAGAAUUUUUGAAAGUAGAGCUUUUACAAAAAGCUAUUUGCUAUUUGAUAACCAUAUUAAUAAAGCGCUUUGAGGAAAGCAAAAUAGCUUCUCGAUAUUAGCCAAAAAGUACUUUUGGGGACAGCUUCAAAAUACAGCUUUUCCCAAAUAGAUCUUUUUAGCUUUCUAGCAAAGUCAAAACAGCUUUCCGACAUUUUUAUCAAACAUCGCUGUAUCACUGCAAAGUACUUUCUGAGAGCCAGAAAGUGCUUUCUGGCACUCUAAAAGCUUAGCCAAAUAAGGCCUAAGACAACUACUUGUUCCAUCUUCACACAACCAAUACAUGCAAGCAUCUUAAUCAUUUUAAAAUUUAACAAGGUAAAUUCUUAAUUUGUGUCCCAGCUAAUCCACUCCCACAAUAUAUUAAAUGGUCAUUUAUGUUCUUCAAAUAUGUAUCCACCAAUAUUGCAUAAUGGGUCUCAUUGUAAAAUCAUUUAUUAUGUUCCUCAUUACUUCUGUAGCUUUACAUUUGCAUCUCUACCAUCUUUCCCUGCAAAGAUAUUCAAGUUUUACCAAUAAAAAUCAUUCUCUUUCAUUCAAACAUACAUCUAGACAAACAAUAAUUUUCACUAUGGCAUACAAAACAUAUGUUCUGCAUAUGCAUUUACCCAACAAUUACAAAUUUAGCUAAUGAGUGACCAUGGCAAAUCAUUUAACUUAUUAACAGAAUUGGACAACGACCUUAAAUCAUAAUAGGCAUCUGCAUAUGAAACAAACACUAAGCAUACAAAGUUUUAGAACAGCAUUAAACUAAGGCCUUGUAUAAUGGUAGAAUCAAACAUGCAAAAUUGCAACAGUAUUAUUAAUAACUAUUAUAAGAUGGAUUUGGAUUUCAAUAAAUCUAUUGUUCAAUGAACUUGUGGAGGAAAGGCGUACUAAGUUAUUGAAAGUUUUCAAGCGCUCUUCAUUCAGCACUUGAAAUAGUUGAUAAUUAAAGAGCUCUUACUUGCUUUAAAAUGUUUAAAUAUAACACUCCAAGUGUCAGCAACUUAGCCAAAACAAGCAUGACAUACACAUGAGGGGGUAGUACAUAUUCUGGUGUCACAUCCAAGUGUCAGAAGUUUCAAAGGUCCAGUGCCAUAAAACUUCAACUCUGAAAAUCUUUAGACCUUUUAAAGUGCAGAUCAGAAGCUCCAGUCAAAUUGAUACAAACACAUAAUCAUUUUAUGUGGUAAAAUCAUUAUCUAUAUCAAAGAAUCUAUAUAUCUUACAUUUUUUCAAAAAUAAUUAUGUAUCUGAACUUAAAUUAGGCAUAUUGCUACUUAUAAAUCUGAAACUACUUUUAAAAUCUCAUGAGAUUCUUGGAUGCAUUAGUCUUACAUUAGAAUAAAAAAAACUGGAUAUAUACAUGAUUGUAGUGGCCGCAAGCAUAGAGCUGAUAAGCAAUCUAGCCAUGAUAGGAAGUAAAAGGGGAUAAGAACCAUAUAAAAGAAGAUUAAGUCAAUGCUGCAAAUAGUGAAAGCAAAGUUUGUAAGAAGAAUGUACUCAUUGUGCCUCCUAGACUUGGUUAAUAAAAACGAUUCACCAAUCAAACAUAAAGCUCACAUGGUGUGGUUCAUACUGUAACAUCUCAGAAUUCAUCAAUAAGUAUAUCUUUUCCCUCACAAAACUCAUAGUGAUUCUAAUAUCAACAACAUAUGGCAAGAUUAAAACAUUGCAUGUAUCGGAACUCAUACUACAAUAAUAUAAUCUCUUUGAUAAUGCAUCUACAUCAAAGAAAAUGAAGCAGUAAGCAAUGUAACAUCCAACAAAGCAAAAAUGGCAGGUGUUGGGGGUAAAGUUAUAAGAUUUUAUCAAUAUAAAAUUGUAAUGAAAUCUUUGAUAAGACUUAUCUUAUCACAGUCACUGAACUUAACUAUUAGAACCCUUCCAGCAAAUUUCAACUUAUUAGCAAGUAGCAACCGCUGAGCAAGCACUUGGCCAUGAACCCAUACAUAUGCAAUAAUUGAUAAUCAAAGAAUUGGCAGAUGCCGGUAAUUUCUGAUUAAAAAGGAUAAGUUGAAAUGAAUAAGGGAUAUUUAUUGUCUAAAGAUUAUUUAGAGGUUAAAAAAUGAACUUGUGAUGUUCCAACUUUUCAACCAUACAAGCACUAAGAUGGAAAACAGGCAGACUGAGAAUGUGAGUUACAAACAUUAAAAAAGUUCUUUUAGAUACGAUCUUGAAUAUGGCAACAUCAAAGACUAAGAGGAAUCAAAUAAUUCCAAACAUAUGGGUCAAAGUUGGGAAACCCUACACAUUUCAAGAAAACCCAAAAGAAAUCAUCAGAAAGAUGCUACCUGUAAGAUGCCUACAUCAAGACUUAUAGGACAUACAGUAACCACAGGCAUCUGAGUCAAUGUCAGGAAAUUGGAUAAAUUUCCAGAAAAUGCAAAAGAAAUCAUCAUAAAGAUACUAGUUUUAAGAUAACGACAUCAAUGACUUAUAGGACUCACGUAAUUGCAACAUCCGUAUCAAAGCCAGGCAAUCAUAGAAAUUUCAAGAAAACCCAAUAGGAAUCAUCAGAAAGAUAAGCAACAUCAAUGACUUAUAGACUCACGCAACUGCAAGCAUCUGUAUCAAAGUUAGGAAAUCAUAGAGAACCCAAAAGAAAUCAUCAGAAAGAUACUGGCUCUAAGAUGGCAACAACAUUGACUUGUAGGACCGAACUAAUUGCAAACGAUUGUGUCAUGUAAGGAAAUCAAAGAAAUUUCAAGAACCCAAAGAAAUUAUCAAAGAUGCCUGAUUCUUUGAGAUGAGAAAAUCAAUGAUUCAUAGUAUAACACUAAGUAUGUCCACAUACCAACACGUCAAUAGAACUUCCUUGACCUCAGUUCGACGAUCAAGAAGCCAUCAAACGAAAAAGCAUCCAAUUCAACGAUCAAGAAAAUGAAAGAAAGCCAACUGUGGUGCGACAGGAUUACAACGAAGGGGAAUGAGAAAAAGGUAAAGAAACGAGGAGAGGGCAAAUUAAAUUAAAUUUUAAUGGAUAAUUACAGUUUCGUGCGGAAGAAUAAACCAAAUUCCGCAGAAAUUCUUGGCAAAAGGGAGAAGAAACUUCUUGAAAAGCAAAAAAAAAAGAGACUAUAAUCAGUAAAUAAAUAAAUUCUGCUCGAAUAAAACCCUAGAUAUCUUACCGCAUUGGGGGAAGAGGGACCAAGAGGGGAACAUGAGCUCUCGUCACCGAUCAAAGCCACCGAACAGGAAACGGCACCUUCGUCGUGUUGCCACCGGAAGACGUCGGAGAGGAGACGACACUUUCGUCAAUCAAAGACGCCGGAGGGGAGAGACGCCGCCUUCGCCGCGAAUCAAGAGAGUAUGGAGUCGCUGGUCUAGC
rnacentral:lncRNA from 1 species